AGAGUUUGAUCCUGGCUCAGAUUGAACGCUGGCGGCAUGCCUUACACAUGCAAGUCGAACGGUAACAGGUCUUCGGAUGCUGACGAGUGGCGAACGGGUGAGUAAUACAUCGGAACGUGCCCAGUAAUGGGGGAUAGCUCGGCGAAAGCCGGAUUAAUACCGCAUACGCCCUGAGGGGGAAAGUGGGGGACCGCAAGGCCUCACGUUAUUGGAGCGGCCGAUGGCUGAUUAGCUAGUUGGUAGGGUAAAGGCCUACCAAGGCGACGAUCAGUAGCUGGUCUGAGAGGACGAUCAGCCACACUGGGACUGAGACACGGCCCAGACUCCUACGGGAGGCAGCAGUGGGGAAUUUUGGACAAUGGGGGAAACCCUGAUCCAGCAAUGCCGCGUGUGCGAAGAAGGCCUUCGGGUUGUAAAGCACUUUUGUCAGGGAAGAAAUCCUUUGGGCUAACACCCUAGGGGGAUGACGGUACCUGAAGAAUAAGCACCGGCUAACUACGUGCCAGCAGCCGCGGUAAUACGUAGGGUGCAAGCGUUAAUCGGAAUUACUGGGCGUAAAGCGUGCGCAGGCGGUUGUGUAAGACAGGUGUGAAAUCCCCGGGCUUAACCUGGGAAUUGCAUUUGUGACUGCACGACUAGAGUGUGUCAGAGGGGGGUGGAAUUCCACGUGUAGCAGUGAAAUGCGUAGAUAUGUGGAGGAACACCAAUGGCGAAGGCAGCCCCCUGGGAUAACACUGACGCUCAUGCACGAAAGCGUGGGGAGCAAACAGGAUUAGAUACCCUGGUAGUCCACGCCCUAA
rnacentral:rRNA from 1 species